CAACCAACUGAGCCUCACAUGCACCCCAUCUUUCUUUAACAAUUUAAAAAUACAUUCCAACACCUAAGCAUCUCUGCAGCUUCUGAAAAGGUCAGGCUAAGUCCCAAAUGGGGGAAUCGUGAGGGGAUCAGGCAUGUCAGUGAGUCACGUGAGUUCAAAUCCCAGCAUCAUCACCGGUUGUCUGACUGCCCAAGUGUGCCCACCUCUCUGGACCUCGGUGUCCGUGGCUGUGACAGGGAGAUUUCCUACACAGUUUGAAGGGAUUGUGUGAGAAUCAAGUGAGAUAAUAUGUGAAGACCAUCUCGCAUGCUGUAGGGUCUGGAUGUGGGUCGUCAUUUAAUGGAGCAAAUGUGUGUCUUUGUGCCUGGUGCUGGACACUGUCAUUUUACAGAUGGGAAGACUGAGCCUGGGAAGGACUAGGAUUUUCCCAGAAUUAAGGCAGGGAGGGCAGGCACAGGGGCCCCUCCCUGCCUCUCAGUCACAUUUUAGGCAAAGGAGGGGUCGGGUCAGAGCAUCCCUAAGUCAUGCUGAAGGUUUUCACCUUGACCCCUUCUCCUCCUGCCAACUGGGACGAUCAGAUGUGUCCAGGGGAGGGGGUCUUUCCCUCUCUGUGCCGCGGUUUUGCCAUCUGUGAAAUGGUACUUCCCUCAUCGGGUGUCUGAGGGGUGAGUGAGGUAAUAGUCGUAGAACUAAGCUCUAAAGCCUGGUGUGUAUAAAGUGUUCAGCAAACAGGAGCUGCGAUUUCCAGCUAUUAGGAAAGACGCAGGGGCUGCAUGGGGGGAAGAGUAAAAUAAAGUGAGAGCGGGGAAACACCACCGUUUACAGAAAUCACGCAUCCAGGUGUGCCCAGCAUAAAGGUUAUGAUGAGAAGGGCAGGCAGCAGCAAGUUGUGAGGAUGUGGGGGGGGGGGGGGGCUGGCACUCUCCUACACGGCCGGUGGGGGCAGAAGGCGGUGCAGGCACUUGGAAAGCUUUGGCGGAGCCUACCGAAGCUGAGGGUACACGUACGUGCGACCCAGCCAUUCACCCCGAGCUAUUUACCCAACAGAGAUACGUACUACGAUCACCGAAAGCCUUGUUCAGGAAUGUGCGGCGGUGUUUGGAACGGCUGGAAACUGGACCCUCCACGCGCCCAACAGCGGGAGAAUGGUGCUCUGUAGCAGCUCCAUACGAGGCCAUCACAGACAGCAAAGAGAAUAGACGAGCUGGGAUGAGCUCCACCCCAACUUGGACCUUUUAAGUUAAAACCAGCAGCACAGCCCCCUGGCCCCAGACUGUGGGGGUGUGAACCCUGGGCUACCGCCAGCUUCCUGAUCUGGAAGAGUCGCCUUGAUUUUCUCCUUGCCUCACCUGGAAGGUGGUGACGAUAACAGCAUUCGCCUCCUACGGUCAUCGGAGGAUCAGAGGAGCGGAUGUACUUUUAGCACAGCGUUGGGUUCCUGGCAAGGACUGUUAUUAAUUUAGGUCAAACGGCCUCCAAGCUUGAAUGAGCACACGGCCCCCACAGAUGGAUAUUUAUUUAUGAAGGAUAGAUGUGCCACUGAACUAGCCUAUUAUGUACACUAUAAAGCACAUACUCGAAUGGAAUUUUUAAAAAGAUCACGAGUAGACACA